AAUAGGCCAAUUUGCUCGGCCCCCUUUGAAACCCAAAAAUAAAUAAUAAUUAAAUAUAAAUAUUAACAGUCCAAAGUCCAAAUAAUUACAAUAGUUCACGGGCCAAUAACCAAUCAAAGCCCAAUUACAAGACCAGAACUUAAACCUUAUAACAGUCUACUAACAGGCUUUGACCCAAAUUAAAACACUAAUACCUAGACCCAAUAACUAAUGCCCCACAACCAAUACCCAAUCCCCAAAUUAACCCGAGACCCAAAAUCACAUUGGCCCAAAUGGCCCAGAAAUUUUAGAACCCUAGGUUUCUUUCCCAUGCGCCGCAACCAGCCAAGCUUCAGCCCUGGCCUCCGUACCGUCCAGCAGUCAUGCCCGCGCCAGCACACCGCCCCGUACCCGAGCGCACACCUGUACCUGCGAAGAAAGGGACAAACCACAGCAGCAAAUGCAUACAAGAAAAUAACAGACAGAAAAAAAUGGAAAAAUUGUAUAUUUUAUUUUUUUUCUCUUCUUCUCUUGGCUAUAAAGCCUGAAGAGAAUCAAUUGUAAAAGUUUACGUUAAGAGAGAAUACAAAAGGCUCAAUACGCAAUACAAAAAGGCGAUUAAAAUCCUAAAAGGUGAUUUCUUCUCGAGUUUCUUCUGAGUUCUUCGACUGAUCGUUUCCUUUUAGCCAUUCGCUUUUGUUUUUUUUUUAAAAAAGGGAAAUCAAACCAAAAAGAAGAGGAGACCUUACCUUGAAAGCACGCCGCGAGAUCCCUUCCUCUUCGCAGGAAUCGAACUGUCGAGGGGGUCUUAAGGCUAAAAAAGGGACUCCAAGGCUCGGAUGGUUUAGUCCCCUGUCAUGGUGAUAGAUCGGAGCCUAAAGGGACCCUUGGGAUUCGACUGAUAAACAAAGAAAAGGGGGGCUAGGGUUUGGGCAGUGGUUCGGCUGUUUGAAGGCUAU
rnacentral:lncRNA from 1 species